AUACGGAGGAUCCGAGCGUUAUCCGGAUUUAUUGGGUUUAAAGGGUGCGCAGGCGGCCAUUUAAGUCAGCGGUUAAAUCGUGGGGCUCAACCCCAUUCUGCCGUUGAUACUGGGUGGCUUGAUUGCGGUCGAGGUUGGCGGAAUUCGUUGUGUAGCGGUGAAAUGCUUAGAUAUCACGAAGAACUCCGAUUGCGAAGGCAGCUUGCUGGACUGUAACUGACGCUGAUGCUCGAAAGUGUGGGUAUCAAACAGGAUUAGAUACCCUGGUAGUCCACACAGUAAACGAUGAAUACUCGCUGUUUGCGAUAUACAGUAAGCGGCCAAGCGAAAGCGUUAAGUAUUCCACCUGGGAAGUACGCCGGCAACGGUGAAACUCAAAGGAAUUGACGGGG
rnacentral:rRNA from 1 species